rnacentral:rRNA from 1 species
UACGAAGGGGGCUAGCGUUGUUCGGAAUUACUGGGCGUAAAGCGCGUGUAGGCGGGUCCUUAAGUCAGGGGUGAAAUGCCAAGGCUCAACCUUGGAACUGCCUUUGAUACUGGAGACCUUGAGUCCGGGAGAGGUGAGUGGAAUUGCGAGUGUAAAGGUGAAAUUCGUAGAUAUUCGCAAGAACACCAGUGGCGAAGGCGGCUCACUGGCCCGGUACUGACGCUGAGGUGCGAAAGCGUGGGGAGCAAACAGG